rnacentral:piRNA from 1 species
UCUGGGUGAUUAACCGAUGUGCCCAAGCCGU